UGGGGAGUUGUCUUCAAUGCAAGGUCAAGGAUUAAUGGAUUAUGGUUUUGAGGAGUGUGAGAUGGAGGGAGUGAUGGAAAAAAAGACUUAGAAGGAGGAAGAAGAUUCUAUUGAAGGAAAGGAGUUUAGCUAUUUGAUAGUUAGAAAUUGAAGAGUAUCAAGUGGUAACCUUUUUAUAUCAACGGCUACCAAGGGGCAAG
rnacentral:lncRNA from 1 species